AACUUUUAAGACAAACGGGAUAAAUGGGUAUGAAAAACGAGAAGACCCUAUAGAUCUUUAUUUAAUUAAAAUUUUAAUAAUUUAGGAUUAUUUUAAUUUAAAUUUUUAAUUAAAUUUUAUUGGGGUAAUAUAAAGAUUAAAUAAAUUCUUUUUAUUAAUUACAUUGAUUUAUGAAUAUAUGAUCCAAUAUUAUUGAUUAUAAGAUUAAGUUACCUUAGGGAUAACAGCGUAAUUUUUUUGGAGAGCUCAUAUCGAUAAAAAAGUUUGCGACCUC
rnacentral:rRNA from 1 species